GUGGGGAAUCUUCCGCAAUGGACGAAAGUCUGACGGAGCAACGCCGCGUGAGUGAAGAAGGUUUUCGGAUCGUAAAGCUCUUUCGUUAGGGACGAACGUGCUCUUUGUGAAUAAUGAGGAGUAAUGACGGUACCUAAAUAAGAAGCCACGGCUAACUACGUGCCAGCAGCCGCGGUAAUACGUAGGUGGCAAGCGUUGUCCGGAAUGAUUGGGCGUGAAGCGCGCGCAGGCGGGAUAUCAAGUCUGUCUUAAAAGUGCGAGGCUCAACCUCGUGAGGGGACAGAAACUGGUAUUCUUGAGUGUCGGAGAGGAAAGUGGAAUUCCAAGUGUAGCGGUGAAAUGCGUAGAGAUUUGGAAGAACACCAGUGGCGAAGGCGACUUUCUGGACGAUGUCUGACGCUGAGGCGCGAAAGCUAGGGGAGCGAACGGGAUUAGAAACCCCAGUAGUCC
rnacentral:rRNA from 1 species